rnacentral:lncRNA from 10 species
GAGAGUAUGGGUGGGCAACGGCCAAAUCCAAACACCAAGAGGGGUACUUAUUUGGCUGCGUUCCUCUAUAGUUUAAUCUGGGAAGGAGCCAUAGCCUAAUUGGAGACCGUGAACAUCAGCCUACGCUGAGUCACCAGGCAGCGCCGCACAAAUGGGCUAGGGCUUCCCCUUUCCGCGAUUCCUGUCCCUACUCUUUCCCACUCUCUUUCUUCUCUUUGCACAUACUUUUCUUCUCGCCUCUCCUUCGGAUCUGCGUUAAUGAAAAUAUUUUAUCUUGUACAAGUUUAUAAAGCCUACGGUAGUAAAUUCAGGCGUCCCAGGGCUCAAGGACUGCACUCUUGCGGAUUUCUCUGCCGGGUCUGGUGCUGCAGAUGCAAACCCAGGCCCCGUGAACAAAGCGAUCCGGAGCUGCAAUUCCUCCCUGCUCACUCCUGUGGCUGACUUGCACGCACAGACAUCGCCUCCCCACUUGUUGGCGACUGUUUUCCAUUCUUCCCCCAACAAUUCGUCCUUCUCAAUUCCGAUUAGCUGAGACUGAAGCCCUCUACAAAGGACCUGUGCAGCCCACGGAACAACUCCGCAGUUCUCAGCUUGUUAUACUGAAAAGGACAUCAGGCCAUCUAUUGGCAAAUAAUUACUCACAACACGGGAGGUACCUGUCAGCAGGGCGUGCUGUAUAUUGAAUUCCCUAUACGAAGAAGCAGAGAUAUCAAUUGAGGAAAGCCAGCUUGGGGAUGAUAUAAAAACCAUCAGAUUAAGAUCUGGACCAUGCAAAUGUCAAAAACACACCAAUUAAACUUGCUUUUGAGAAAAAAUUCCAAGUGCUUGCUGAUUUAUUUUCCAUCAAAAUAUUCAAUUUAUUUCAUUUAACACGUUUGAAACCACAUUUUGAUUGCAAUAAUAAUGUAAUACUACAUACUCAGUAUUAUCAAUGGAUAUCAAGUACUAUCAACUACCAAAACAUCUUCCCUUCACCUUCAAAGUGAUUAAAAAAAAAUCACUCUAAUUUUCUACCUGUAGCACCCUGUUAUCUUUAAAUUUACAUUUAAUUUUGUAGAUUUUAAGAGUCAGAGCUCUCUUGUUUCAGUUUAUUUGGAGAAAUUUGUGAAGCAAGUUAUCUAAAUGGUCUUGGUCAAAAAUGGGUUCAAACAAAUAAAUACCCUGAAAGUAGGCAGGUGCCUACAGGUAAGUUCGCUGUGAGUUCGCUUCAAGAAAACCAUCUUUAGAUUUCCAUCGUGGAGGCAUAGGGAAACACUCAAGAUUGGUCUCCACUUUGUUGUAGAAGAAUGAAACGGAUUUGAGGGGAGAAUAAUGUAAAAUUACAGCAAAUGUUCCCUACCCAGGCAGAAGUUUUAUUUGGUUGUGUUUUGAAUUUCCCCUUUGCGAUCAAUCGAGUGGUCGCCAGUAUUGGUUUUCUCUUCUUUCCCAGUUCCUGCUUUGCCCAGGGCUCCCCCUGGCCAGGCUUUGGAUCACUUGGUCUCUGUGAGACAGUGAGGAAUCGAGCGUUUCAUAUUAUGGGUUUCCAGAAAGACGUGGGAGACGAAUGAGGCGCAGAAAAACUUAUCAGCUUCUUUUCCAUCUGCCUCGGAAAGGUGGAAACAAGGAGAGCGCUGCAGAAAUUUCUAAUUUUUUUAUUUUCCAAGUUUUUGUUGCUUCUUGAGCUCCUGUCCUGCCCUGUCCAGGCCAUUCCACGUCCCCGUCCCCUUGUUUCCACUUAUAAUUAGAACUUUGUAAGGGGGCCCCAACCUGACUCCAUCCGAGAGUAAGCUUAGUUCGGGAUUAUUAAUUUUUUAUGUAGCAUUUAUUACUUGAUAUUAUUUAAUAACAAAACUCUCAAUAAAGUAAAAAGAAAGAAGUCAGUCCAGUUUCCGGGGACACCCUAAAAUCCCUGGGGGCGGUUCCCACUGGUAAAAUACUAAGGAAUUCGUAUUUCCGAUGAAGUUCCAAAGCUGAAAUUAAAAUCCAGUCUGGGUUUCUGAAGCUCAUAUUGUUUUGGACAAUAUCUGCGUUUUCUUUCAUUUAGUUUUCGUUCUUUCUGGUUUUGGUGCUUUUUCUUUUCUUUUCUUCUUUUUUUUUUUUUUUUACAUUGCCGAAGACAAUCUGAUUUACAGUUUGACUGAGAGUUGCAUUUCUGUUUAGAAGGUGAAACGUCUAAAUCGCUUAGCCAAAUUAUUCCCCGACGGCUCCAAUAUUGUGCCAGAGUCCCAGAGUCAGUUAUUUUUAUGUCUGACUGUAUUUCACAUGUGCAGGGUGAUAAAUAAAAUCCGUCUCAAGCUACAAACUAUCUGAGUGUGAUGAGGAACAAUCGACAAAAAUUAACCCAGCCAAAGCGUUGGGGUUCAAGCGAGCGACUGGACCAUAAAUCAGCGUCGCGGUGGCGUCGGGAAGCUGAGCGCUCGGAGGUGCACUCAGCUGCCUCUGGGUUCGCCCAGUCCGAGAGCGGGGCUCCGCCGCGGGAGCCCGGGCAGGAAUCGGACUCCGCCAGGGGUUCGGAGUCUUCUGGGGAAAGGGCGUGUUGGGAGAGAAAGGCAAGCCCACGCAGGAGCGACCUCCUAAUUAAUUCAUCAUCGAGAAUUCUCCAGUGGGGUGUGUGUGUGUGUGUGUGUGUGUGUGUGUGUGUGUAAAAUCAAAAAAGACUUGGGAGGCAAACUUGGGUGGGAAGCACUGAGGAAGGCGAAACAAUUCCCAACUUAUCUGGAUCCCAGACGAGUCCCUCUGAUUGCUUAAGUCACUAGAAAAGGAGAUUCGUCUCAGCGAUUAACAAUGAUACCCUUUUUAAGAGAGAUCAAAGAAGGCGCCUAGGGAAGCUCUACAACGCGGCUUCUUGGAGUUCUGAGGCCGCCUGCGCAUUCACUUUCCAGUGUAAGCCCCCGCUCCGGAAUCCCGGCUCCAGCCCAGCCCGCGCCCCCUUCCCUGGAAAGACCUGGCCGGCCGCGCCCCCGAACCCCCGAGGCGUGGGUGUCAGGCUAAGCGGGGCUGGUCCGACCGGUCGCUUCCAGCUCUCUCCACCUGUUGGAAAGCCCAGGCCCAAGAACCGCGCCAGCGGCGGCAGCACGUCACUCGGCGGCCACGGGGAGUCAGGGAGCGCGGAACGCGGGUUUCUGUUGAUAAGUGCAAAGUACGGCCCUCUCGGUGCUAAGUGCACAGUAAGUGCGAAGAAUAAAUACAUCAUCUCCCGGGGCGGCUGUCUCGAAAACGCCUCUCAGCUGCCUGCGUUUCAGAGCCCGUCAAGGGUUAUAGCUUAGUGUGGGCGUCCGCGCCGCGCCUGCGCCUCCGAGCGCCGGCCGAGAAGGGCGCGCAGCCACAGCCACCACAUGCCACUAGCCCCGCAAGGCGCCUGACUCCUCUAAGGGGAACUCGUAAUGCUCACCAAAAGCCUCAGAAACCCUGGAACCUAUAAGACCGCACCACCGCGCAAACGGUGUCCCGGGCUGCGCUCCCGCACUGCACCGGCAGCCUAUGAGGCGAGGCCAACCCGGAGACUGCGCGCGACGGGCGUGCGUGCGUGCGCCCGCAGAUUCGCUUCAGGCGAACCAUAUAUUCAAGACCAAAGAUCAUAUCUCAUAAUGAGGAGCAGCAUAAGAUGGAAGCAGCUGAAUGAAUAAAACUGAGAUGAAAUAAUUUGUCCAAAGUUGUAUAUUUGGCUCAGAACAAAACCUGGAGAACCAAUUACAGAGACUCUGUGUAGAGAAAAUCAUGUUUCAGAUCAGGAAGAAUUCUACUUGACUGCAGUGAAUACAAUAUCAAAAUGUUCAGUUGGCUGAAUUCCCUGGAUGCGGCUUAACAGAAUGUAAGUAAAGAAAUGGACACAUUAGACUCAUUAAAACCUUGUGAUAUGAUGGUGUAAAUGAGCCAGAGCUAGAACCAUUUGAAUUCCAUUCACAUCAGUCAGUUACUCUGAAUAUACAAGUGAUGGACCAUUUCACAGUUGUCCAAUAUUGACUUCUACCAAGGUUUCUCAAUUUGGCACUAUUGAGUCUCAGAGUUGUAUAAUUAUUUCUGGGGGAAGGGAGGCUGUCCUGUGCAUUGUAGGUUGUUUAGUGGCAUCACUGGCUUCUACUCCUCAGAUGACAGUAGUGCCAUCACCCAAGUUGUGCCAACCAAAAAUAUCUCCAGACAUUGUCAUAUGUCUCUGGGAGAUAGGGAGCAAAAUUGGCCCUGGUUGAGAACAACUAAGUUAGAUAAAUCUGUGUCUGGAGUUUCUGAGAUCCGGGUGGCCAGGCACUGGCAUCUCACUUUAUUGAUGGUGACCUAAACUGCAGGAUUGGUGGUCAGAAUGCUUGACUAUUGGGAAUGGAGAGAAGGGCUUCAAGCUACGUUGAAUGGGGCCACUCACAAAACAAUGAAGCAAAUAAAUAAUCCACAAAUAAUUUUACUACAUCUUUGUGACCCUCACGAAAAGAAAUAGUUUGCCCCAAAAUAGAAAUAUUAUGGUGAUAAUCUGAGCCCAUCAAUCUAACUAUUACACACUGCAUUUUGAUAGAGCUAUAGGUAUAUAAGUACAGGUAUAGGUAGACAGAUAUAAAUAGCUCUCAAAACACCUUUCCAGACAUAACCUUAAGCAAUUCUCUCAAUUACCCUGUAAAGUCCAGUGGACAGGUGUUCCAGUUACUCUUAUUUUAUGGGCUACGAAACUACAUUUCAGAGAGGUUAGGUGAUUUCUUCCAGAUUAUACAAGAACAGUUUGGAUCAAAUACAGGGCCUUUUCUAUAGUUCUGUCUUCUUUAAAAAUGAAGAUUAAGUAGUGAGAGGUGGUAUAUGCUUAGACCAUAAAAAUAUUUAGUUAUGUAUCACAUAAGCAGAGGAAGAUAAG